GGGGGUAUAGCUCAGUGGUAGAGCAACCCGCAUCCGUAUCGGAAGGUCGGGGGUUCGACUCCCUCUGCCUCCA
rnacentral:tRNA from 1 species